UCAAGCGAAGAAGAGCACAUGGAGAAUGCCUUGGCAUUAGGAGCCGAAGAAGGACGUGACAAGCUGCGAUAAGCUGCGGGAAGGUGCAAAUGACUAUAGAUCCGCAGAUUUCCGAAUGGGGAAACCCGGCAAAGCAAUACUUUGUCAGCAUAUACUGAAUAAAUAGGUAUAUGUGGGGAGACCCGCUGAACUGAAACAUCUAAGUAGGCGGAGGAAGAGAAAUCAAAAGAGAUUUUCUGAGUAGCGGCGAGCGAAAGGGAAAGAGGCCAAACCGAUGGUAGUAAUACUGUCGGGGUUGAGGACUGCGAAACGCAUUCGGAGUUGAUAGUAGAAUUGACUGGGAAGUCAAGCCAAAGAGGGUAAGAGCCCCGUAAACGAAAUUGACGAAGAGCGAGCAGGAUCCAGAGUACUGCCGGACACGAGAAACCCGGUGGGAAGCAGGGUAGACCACUAUCCAAGCCUAAAUACUACCUAAUGACCGAUAGAGAAGCAGUACCGUGAGGGAAAGGUGAAAAGAACCCCGGGAGGGGAGUGAAAGAGAACCUGAAACCGUGUGCUUACAAGCAGUCGGAGCACGUUAAAGUGUGACGGCGUACUUUUUGUAGAACGGUCCGGCGAGUGUAUGUAUGUAGCAAGGUUAAGAGCUUAAGGUUCGAAGCCGCAGGGAGACCGAGUCUGAAUAGGGCGAAAGAGUUGCAUGUAUACGACCCGAAACCGAGUGACCUACCCAUGGACAGGUUGAAGCUAGAGUAAAAUCUGGUGGAGGACCGAACCCACGUAUGUUGAAAAAUGCGGGGAUGAGCUGUGGGUAGCGGAGAAAUUCCAAUCGAACUCGGAUAUAGCUGGUUCUCCCCGAAAUAGCUUUAGGGCUAGCCUCGGAUUAGUUUAGCGGAGGUAAAGCACUGAAUGGGCUAGGGGGCGUAUAGCUUACUGAACCCUAUCAAACUCAGAAUGCCGCAAAAAUGAUGUCCGGGAGUCAGACUACGGGAGAUAAGUUUCGUGGUCGAAAGGGAAACAGCCCAGACCCACAGCUAAGGUCCCAAAAUAGGUUUAAGUGGAAAAGGAUGUCUAGUUGCAGAGACAACUAGGACGUUGGCUUAGAAGCAGCCAUACAUUUAAAGAGUGCGUAAUAGCUCACUAGUCGAGUGAAUAGGCGCCGAAAAUUUAACGGGGCUAAAACCUAUACCGAAGCUUGGGAAUUUGCAUAACUAUUAGAACACAUAUGAGAAAGAGAAAGAAAACCGGCUGCGAAGCAGACGGGAAAUUGAAGUAAGGAAAAAAGGAAUGUGUGAUCUAAUAGUUAUGCAAGUUGGUAGGGGAGCAUUCUAUUAUAGGGAGAAGCAUGACCGGAAGGACAUGUGGACGAGAUAGAAGAGAGAAUGCCGGAAUGAGUAGCGAGAAUUAUGUGAGAAUCAUAAUGGUCGAAAACCUAAGGUUUCUUGAGGAAGGUUCGUCCGCUCAAGGUAAGCCGGGAGCUAAGGCGAGGCCGAAAGGCGUAGUCGAUGCACAUACGGUAGAAAUUCCGUAGCCACCGAAAUUGUUAAGCACAGGGACGCAGGAACAUAAUCCAACCGCACCGAUGGUCGAGUGCGGCGAAAGGGAGCGAAAAUUAAGUAGCGAAGUGGAUGAUUGUACACUGACGAGAAAAGCUGUGUGUAUUGAUGAGGUGCCCGUACCGUAAACCGACACAGGUGGGUGAGGAGAGAAUCCUAAGACCAGCGGGAGAAGUGUUGUUAAGGAACUCGGCAAAUUGACCCCGUAACUUCGGGAAAAGGGGUGCCUGCUAGCGCAGGCCGCAGAGAAUAGGCCCAAGCGACUGUUUAGCAAAAACACAGGUCUCUGCUAAAUCGAAAGAUGAAGUAUAGGGGCUGACGCCUGCCCGGUGCCGGAAGGUUAAGAGGAGGACUUAGCGCAAGCGAAGGUCUGAAUUGAAGCCCCGGUAAACGGCGGCCGUAACUAUAACGGUCCUAAGGUAGCGAAAUUCCUUGUCAGGUAAGUUCUGACCCGCACGAAUGGCGUAACGAUUUGGGCACUGUCUCAACAACACACCCGGUGAAAUUGUAGUACCGGUGAAGAUGCCGGUUACCCGCGACUAGACGGAAAGACCCCAUGGAGCUUUACUGUAACUUGAUAUUGGAUUUUGGUAUUGCAUGUACAGGAUAGGUGGGAGACAGAGAAGCACAGACGCCAGUUUGUGUGGAGUCAAUGUUGGGAUACCACUCUUGUGAUACUGGAAUUCUAACCUGCGGCCGUGAAACCGGUCGGGGGACAAUGUCUGGUGGACAGUUUGACUGGGGCGGUCGCCUCCUAAAGAGUAACGGAGGCGUUCAAAGGUUAGCUCAGUACGGUCAGAAAUCGUACGAAGAGUGCAAACGCAAAAGCAAGCCUAACUGCGAGACGAACAGGUCGAGCAGUAACGAAAGUUGGAGUUAGUGAUCCGGCGGUAAGAGAGUGGAAUUGCCGUCGCUCAACGGAUAAAAGCUACCCUGGGGAUAACAGGCUGAUCUCCCCCAAGAGUCCACAUCGACGGGGAGGUUUGGCACCUCGAUGUCGGCUCAUCGCAUCCUGGAGCUGAAGUCGGUUCCAAGGGUUGGGCUGUUCGCCCAUUAAAGCGGUACGCGAGCUGGGUUCAGAACGUCGCGAGACAGUUCGGUCCCUAUCUGUCGCGGGCGCAGGAAAUUUGAAGGGAGCUGUCCUUAGUACGAGAGGACCGGGAUGGACGUACCACUGGUGUACCAGUUGUCUUGCCAAAGGCACGGCUGGGUAGCUAAGUACGGAAGGAAUAAACGCUGAAGGCAUCUAAGCGUGAAGUCCCCCCUAAGAUAAGAUUUCCCAUUCUUUAAAAGAAGUAAGACCCCACGUAGACUAUGUGGUUGAUAGGUCGGAGGUGUAAGUGUGGUAACACAUUAAGCUGACCGAUACUAAUAGGUCGAGGGCUUGACCU
rnacentral:rRNA from 1 species